rnacentral:tRNA from 1 species
GGGCAUGUAGCGCAGUUGGUAGCGCGCUCGCUUAGCAUAUGCGAGAGGUCCUCGAUUCGAAUUCGGGCUUGUCCA